rnacentral:lncRNA from 1 species
UGGAUCUUGUCUAUCAUGGCUUCCGCUGAUUUCGUAACUGGUGAGUCUAGCUCUGCAGUAUUCUCCGGCGAUCGCGUCACGACCGGUCUUCCUCGGCAUGAAGUGGUUAAGCUUGAUGAAGGCACCUAUAUUCAAUGGCGCAAAUAGAUCAAAUUAAUAGUGGAUGGAUAUGGACUUACAGGAUUCUUAGAUGGCACCGUUGUUCCACCGUCGCGGUUUAUGCCUCUGCCCGAUGGUUCGCGUGCUCCAAAUCUGGUAGCACAGGUGUUCCUACAGCAAGAUAGGCUUCUGACUUCAUGGUUGUUAUCAACUGUAAGUACAUCUCUUCAAUCGUCAUUUGAUGAUGCAUCCACGGCGUGUGAUAUGUGGAACAUGGCGAUAAAUUUGUUUGCGACUGACACUGGUGCAUAGCAGUCACGCAUUCGGCAUGAGCUUCAUUCUUUGAAGAAAGGUAACCUUUCCAUUAAAGCUUAUGUUGCUAAAAUUAAAGAUCUGUGUGCUAUGUUAGAUGCCUCUGGUUCUCGUCUCUCUGAUGAAGAGAAGAUUGAGGUGAUACUCGCGGGAUUACUGUCAGAGUUUGAGGCGGUUAUCUCCUCCGCUAGGCUGUCGACAGGUGUUCUGUCGUUACAACGUGUGGUCGAUGCUCUAGUUGAUUGUGAGAGCCGUCAAGCUCAGGUGUUGCAGGAGGUAAGUUUGAAUGCAAAUCUGGUUGAGGAUGCGCCGUCGGUUGAAGGAGGAAAUCGUGGCGGCCGUACGUCUGUUCGUGGCCGUGGCAGGACCUUCCGAUCUCGCAUUCAAUGCCAGAUCUGUAGUCGUUUUGGUCAUGUAGCUCAGAAGUGCUACUAUCGUUAUCAUAAAGAGUCGAAUAAUCAAGGGGAUCCGUCGGGUGUUGAGAGAGCCGCAUUUGGACCAUGUGCGCAAGAAGAAGAUGAGCAGUAUGUGGCUCCUUAUCCCAAAAGCCAAAGAACAAUUUAUGGACAAGGGAACUAUGCAAGUCAAAAUAGGAAUGGUGGUCAAAAUUGGAGUGCUAGCAUGCAGAGUGAAAAAUUAGCACGUAGGCCACAGGUGUCAUAUCCAAAUGAGUAUGGCCGGCCAUAUGGAAACCAUUUUAAGCCAAAUUUGCGUUAGUUUGGACAUGAUAAUGGGCCUGGUUUUAAUGGCGAUGGGAAUAAUGGAAAUGCCUCAUUGAAUUUUAUUGCUGGAAAUGGACGGUGUGGGUUGCAAGGGCCGAAUGUGGUAAAUUCCACUCAUGGGCCGAAUAUUGACCCAAAUGCAAAUGGGGUUCCGUCGUCUAAUUUUGUUCAAGUUGAUCAAAGUGAUCCCGGCUCACCUGAACCGUUUGGCGUUGAUAGAGUUUUACGAUUUACCAAACCGUGUGCUCGGGUUUGUACUGGGUUCGAACCAUGUAUUGGGCUUCCUCGGCUAGGGGACUUACAUGCAUCUGAUUAUUCUGAUCCUUCAGAAUCUGGCUCUCAUGUCAAUACUGCUCAACUUGGGUUUGGUACUAGUAAAGAUGACCCAUACGUUCCCGUGCAAGGUGGCACCACAACUUGGUAUCCUGACUCGGGAGCUAGUCAUCAUGUCUGUCGUGAUGUGUCAGCUUUACGUGAUGUCACGCCAUAUUCAGGUACGUCAUCUCUUUUAAUGGCUGAUGGUACUCCUGCGGUAAUUUCGUCAAUUGGUACUGCUAUUUUACAUACUCAAUAUAAGUCGUUGCG